GACAGAGGGUGCAAACGUUGUUCGGAAUUACUGGGCGUAAAGCGCGUGUAGGCGGCUCGGAAAGUCGGAUGUGAAAGCCCAGGCUCAACCCUGGAAGUGCACUCGAAACUCCCGAGCUGGAGUCCCGGAGAGGAAGGCGGAAUUCUCGGUGUAGAGGUGAAAUUCGUAGAUAUCGAGAGGAACACCGUGUAGGCGAAGGCGGCCUUCUGGGACGGUGACUGACGCUGGAGACGCGAAAGCGUGGGGAGCAAACAG
rnacentral:rRNA from 1 species